rnacentral:rRNA from 1 species
CGUAGGGUGCGAGCGUUAAUCGGAAUUACUGGGCGUAAAGCGUGCGCAGGCGGUUUAGUAAGACAGGCGUGAAAUCCCCGGGCUCAACCUGGGAACUGCGCUUGUGACUGCUAAGCUAGAGUACGGCAGAGGGGGUGGAAUUCCACGUGUAGCAGUGAAAUGCGUAGAGAUGUGGAGGAACACCAAUGGCGAAGGCAGCCCCCUGGGUCGAUACUGACGCUCAUGCACGAAAGCGUGGGUAGCAAACAGGAUUAGAUACCCUGGUAGUCCACGCCCUAAACGAUGUCAACUAGGUGUUGGGAGGGUAAACCUUUUAGUACCGGAGCUAACGCGUGAAGUUGACCGCCUGGGGAGUACGGCCGCAAGGUUA